AGGCAUUAGAUCUGACUGGGACAAU
rnacentral:piRNA from 1 species